CGGCCGUUAGCUCAGUUGGUAGAGCAGUUGGCUUUUAACCAAUUNGUCGAAGGUUCAAAUCCUUCACGGCCGACCA
rnacentral:tRNA from 1 species